GCCAUCGCUCUCCCCCGGCCUCCCCGACAGCAGAUUCGGCCGGCCGAAGGGAAGGAAGAUCCACUAGAGGGUACCAUUCGAGUCUCCGUUGUGCGCUCUCUUCUUUUUAUCCUCUUCGUCUCACCACCCCUCCCCCCUCUCCCUCCUUCUCCACUCUGUCCUAGGCCUCCCUGCCGGCGGAUCUGGCCAGCUAGAGGGAAGGAUACGAGUCGGCGCCAUGCGCUCUCUUCUCCUCCCUCUCUUCGGCGACACCCUGCCCCCUCCUACUUCCUCUCUAAUCUAUCAGCGGCCUCCCCAGCGGCGGAUCAGGCUGUCUAGAGGAGAGGAAGAUCCGCCAAAUAGGAGGAUGCGAUUCAGCUACUAGUACAUCUUUUGAUAUUUUGGAUGGGGUGAGCAAUACGUUCAUGACUUCAUGGCAUCAUAGAUAUGAUACACAGAGAAGCAGAUGGAGAUGAUAGCCUUAAGGUUAUGUGGUAGAAUUGGUUCAGGUCAUUUAUCUGGAUCUCCUUUAUUGAUUUUCCUAAUUCGUGUUUAACUACUUGUCUCAGUUUUCUGUAUAUCACUGUCUAUUGUAACUGGAGUAUCUAUUUGUGUAUCUCUGUUAUUGGUUGCAUGUUUUACAGUAAAACUUACAAAAUUAGCAUUUUUUUUUAUUCGUCACUAGUUUUGUCAUCUCUUAACAUUACCUAUUUUUCUUAGUAUUUGAAUUUUGUUUGGUAAGUGCAAUUAGCAAAUUAAUUUUGUUAGCUAAUACCUAGUUUUGUCACCUUAGUUUUGUAACUAGCGUGUUCCUUGCAGUGAUUAGAUGCUCUGAAUUUGAUCCAUGCGUGUCUAUAAUUUUAACUAUCUUCAAUUACGUUACACGUUCUCAGAGGCUACCUAUGCCCCUGAGAGGAGAAUAUAUAUAGAGCGCCAUGCAUAGAAGUCUUUUAAGAUCAAAUGUAAAAUAUGUUAUGGGAGGAAUAAAAUCAUAUCAACAACCCACACAAGCAUACAUAGAUGCGACGUGAAGGGCACAUCAAAGACUCCAUACAUUUAAGCUCUAAAACAAAAUGGAUUACAAAAUAUUAGGACAUGACAUGAGGGGAUACAUAUACUAUUCAGGUGAAAAAAAAAAA